rnacentral:rRNA from 1 species
GCAAAACUCAAAAACUUAGUCUCAGUUCGGAUUGUAGGCUGAAACUCGCCUACAUGAAGCUGGAGUUGCUAGUAAUCGCGAAUCAGCAUGUCGCGGUGAAUACGUUCCCGGGCCUUGUACACACCGCCCGUCACACCAUGAGAGUUGGCAAUACCCAACGUACGUGAUCUAACCCGCAAGGGAGGAAGCGUCCUAAGGUAGGGUCAGCGAUUGGGGUGAAGUCGUAACAAGGUAAC